rnacentral:lncRNA from 1 species
UUUUUUUUUUUUUUUUUUUUUUUUUUUUAGAGCAGACUUUUAUUACAGAAGAAAACCUUAUCCAUGAGCAGCAGCACAAGGACACGUUCUGGGAUGAGUGCUGGGGAGGCAGCCAGAAACGAACCAGUGCAACACUCACCUGGAUUAAGAAAGCACCACGUGAAAGGUGAACCACAGAAACCACAGAACGAGGACAACACGUCCCCCAGACGUGCAACAUACUCGCUUUCUAAAGACUGAAGAAGUGAAGAGAUUAUAACGUCAAAGUUCAUCUGACGUGCUUGGAAAGUCAUGUCUCCCGUGUGCACGACCACCAGCGGAGUGAGAGCAUCUAGCCCCGCAGCCACCUCCACCUGCCAGGUGUGCGGGGUGUGAGAAUCCCACGACGCCCAGUGCUCAAGCUGACAAGUAAACAAGUGCGUGAUAAAACCAGAUUGCCCCGGGCUGCUGCAGGGACCUGGGGCGCACAAUGGGACAGGGCGCUCUUGUGGACCCCAGUCCGGGGGCGACGUGUGCGCUGGGGCCGAGGGACCCUGGGUGCUCACCCUACAGGCCUCGGAAGCCCACGCCUCCGGAAGCUGCAGACAACCACGGGCAGCAGCGUCCACCUGCCCCCGUGGGCCAGCCUGGAUCCCGGCAGGACUCUGGUCAAGAGGGCCACUGGCGCUGUGGGCUGUGGAACAGGCAGUUGUGAGGCGGACGCGGGAGACACAAUUGCUAAGCUCAGCGCAGAGGUCCCUGGAGGCUCGGAGCAGAGCUGUGUCCUCAGGCAGGAGACACGGAGCCUGCCCAUCAUCUUUGUGGCUGCUCCCACCCUGCGCUGGCCCUCAGCCCACUCCCUUUCCGGUCCCAGCGCUGCUCCCUUGGCCCUUGGGGACACCUCCUUUACCUGGCUGCGAACCUGCCCUCACUUGUCCUGCUCCAGAGAAAAUGUCCAUGUGUCCCCAGUGUCACAGGCGUCUGUCAUGAGCACCAGGACUCGGGCGCCCUGGGCUGUCCUCCCUGGAACCGAGGCCGCAAGGCUGCGCUCAGUCCAGCCGUCCUCCGCAGCGUGUCUUGGGGAAAGGAAUGGUCACAAGUCUUGGUGUCCGGACUCGGGAUGGACAUGAGAGGUCACUAGAAAUCAAGCCCAGGUGACACCCUGGUGCCUACAGCUCCCCAGGAAUGCAGAGGACCUGGCAAGGGUGACCAGAGGUCAGCCCCCCAGUCUGUAGGGAGGGGAGGAAGCAGAGCCCCGCUUGCGAUGUGGACUCACUGCCCAGUCUCCCACAGCGCUGGCUCCCACCUUCCCUCAGAUCGAGGUCGGCAUGAGGCCCGUAGGAACAGAUCCCAGCGUGAAGGGCGAUCUACGGCACGUCCCUGGGACAUCUGCUGGCGUCCCCGUGUCCAUUCCAUUCGAGGUCCUCCGUGGCUCCCCGCCAACCCAGCGCCCUCCAUGUGGGCCAGGUGCCGAGGUGCUCCGUGGAUGCUGCUGUAACUGCCCUCCGGCAACAAGAACCAUGCUCAGCGGGGGGCACCCCAAAGGUUCUCAUGUGGAAGAAGCAUUUCUCUGGGACAUUCCCAGGACUCCAGGGAAGCCACUGACUUUGCUGGUGGGGUCCCUCCCAGGCUGGGCAGGC